rnacentral:rRNA from 1 species
ACGCUGGCGGCGUGCCUAAUACAUGCAAGUCGAACGCUUCUUUUUCCACCGGAGCUUGCUCCACCGGAAAAAGAGGAGUGGCGAACGGGUGAGUAACACGUGGGUAACCUGCCCAUCAGAAGGGGAUAACACUUGGAAACAGGUGCUAAUACCGUAUAACAAUCGAAACCGCAUGGUUUUGAUUUGAAAGGCGCUUUCGGGUGUCGCUGAUGGAUGGACCUGCGGUGCAUUAGCUAGUUGGUGAGGUAACGGCUCACCAAGGCGACGAUGCAUAGCCGACCUGAGAGGGUGAUCGGCCACAUUGGGACUGAGACACGGCCCAAACUCCUACGGGAGGCAGCAGUAGGGAAUCUUCGGCAAUGGACGAAAGUCUGACCGAGCAACGCCGCGUGAGUGAAGAAGGUUUUCGGAUCGUAAAACUCUGUUGUUAGAGAAGAACAAGGAUGAGAGUAACUGUUCAUCCCUUGACGGUAUCUAACCAGAAAGCCACGGCUAACUACGUGCCAGCAGCCGCGGUAAUACGUAGGUGGCAAGCGUUGUCCGGAUUUAUUGGGCGUAAAGCGAGCGCAGGCGGUUUCUUAAGUCUGAUGUGAAAGCCCCCGGCUCAACCGGGGAGGGUCAUUGGAAACUGGGAGACUUGAGUGCAGAAGAGGAGAGUGGAAUUCCAUGUGUAGCGGUGAAAUGCGUAGAUAUAUGGAGGAACACCAGUGGCGAAGGCGGCUCUCUGGUCUGUAACUGACGCUGAGGCUCGAAAGCGUGGGGAGCAAACAGGAUUAGAUACCCUGGUAGUCCACGCCGUAAACGAUGAGUGCUAAGUGUUGGAGGGUUUCCGCCCUUCAGUGCUGCAGCUAACGCAUUAAGCACUCCGCCUGGGGAGUACGACCGCAAGGUUGAAACUCAAAGGAAUUGACGGGGGCCCGCACAAGCGGUGGAGCAUGUGGUUUAAUUCGAAGCAACGCGAAGAACCUUACCAGGUCUUGACAUCCUUUGACCACUCUAGAGAUAGAGCUUCCCCUUCGGGGGCAAAGUGACAGGUGGUGCAUGGUUGUCGUCAGCUCGUGUCGUGAGAUGUUGGGUUAAGUCCCGCAACGAGCGCAACCCUUAUUGUUAGUUGCCAUCAUUUAGUUGGGCACUCUAGCAAGACUGCCGGUGACAAACCGGAGGAAGGUGGGGAUGACGUCAAAUCAUCAUGCCCCUUAUGACCUGGGCUACACACGUGCUACAAUGGGAAGUACAACGAGUCGCAAAGUCGCGAGGCUAAGCUAAUCUCUUAAAGCUUCUCUCAGUUCGGAUUGUAGGCUGCAACUCGCCUACAUGAAGCCGGAAUCGCUAGUAAUCGCGGAUCAGCACGCCGCGGUGAAUACGUUCCCGGGCCUUGUACACACCGCCCGUCACACCACGAGAGUUUGUAACACCCGAAGUCGGUGAGGUAACCUUUUGGAGCCAGCCGCCUAAGUGGGAUAGAUGAUUGGGG